GGUGACAUAGCUAAGUGGUAAAGCAGAGGACUGUAAAUUCUUUUCUUCCCUAUUUAAAACAUUCUCCAAAAAGAAAAAUUUAUUCUCCUGUUUCUU
rnacentral:tRNA from 1 species